rnacentral:rRNA from 1 species
AUGAACGCUGGCGGCGUGCCUAAUACAUGCAAGUCGCGCGAACGGACGAGAAGCUUGCUUCUCUGAUGUUAGCGGCGGACGGGGGAGUAACACGUGGAUAACCUACCUAUAAGACUGGGAUAACUUCGGGAAACCGGAGCUAAUACCGGAUAAUAUUUUGAACCGCAUGGUUCAAAAGUGAAAGACGGUCUUGCUGUCACUUAUAGAUGGAUCCGCGCUGCAUUAGCUAGUUGGUAAGGUAACGGCUUACCAAGGCAACGAUGCAUAGCCGACCUGAGAGGGUGAUCGGCCACACUGGAACUGAGACACGGUCCAGACUCCUACGGGAGGCAGCAGUAGGGAAUCUUCCGCAAUGGGCGAAAGCCUGACGGAGCAACGCCGCGUGAGUGAUGAAGGUCUUCGGAUCGUAAAACUCUGUUAUUAGGGAAGAACAUAUGUGUAAGUAACUGUGCACAUCUUGACGGUACCUAAUCAGAAAGCCACGGCUAACUACGUG